rnacentral:rRNA from 1 species
AAUGGGGGAACCCACUGUUUUUAAUCGAGCAGUACGUUUACGUGAAUACAUAGCGUAAUCGUGGCACACCCAGGGAACUGAAACAUCUAAGUACCUGGAGGAAGAGAAAGAAAUUCGAUUCCCUGAGUAGCGGCGAGCGAAACGGGAAGAGCCCAAACCAAGAAGCUUGCUUCUUGGGGUUGUAGGACACUCAAUACGGAGUUACAAAGGAACGAGUUAGGUGAAGCGAUCUGGAAAGAUCCGCCGCAGCAGGUAAAAGCCCUGUAGCCGAAAGUUCGUUCUCUCCUGAGUGGAUCCUGAGUACGGCGGAACACGUGAAAUUCCGUCGGAAUCUGGGAGGACCAUCUCCCAAGGCUAAAUACUACCUAGUGACCGAUAGUGAACCAGUACCGUGAGGGAAAGGUGAAAAGCACCCCGGAAGGGGAGUGAAAGAGAUCCUGAAACCGUGUGCCUACAAGUAGUUAGAGCCCGUUAAUGGGUGAUAGCGUGCCUUUUGUAGAAUGAACCGGCGAGUUACGAUUGCAUGCAAGGUUAAGCUGAUAAGGCGGAGCCGCAGCGAAAGCGAGUCUGAAUAGGGCGAUAGAGUAUGUAGUUGUAGACCCGAAACCAGGUGAUCUACCCAUGUCCAGGGUGAAGGUAAGGUAACACUUACUGGAGGCCCGAACCCACGCACGUUGAAAAGUGCGGGGAUGAGGUGUGGGUAGCGGAGAAAUUCCAAUCGAACCUGGAGAUAGCUGGUUCUCUCCGAAAUAGCUUUAGGGCUAGCCUCAAUUUUGAGAAUCCUGGAGGUAGAGCACUGUUUGGACUAGGGGCCCAUCCCGGGUUACCGAAUUCAGACAAACUCCGAAUGCCAGAGAUUUAUAAUUGGGAGUCAGACUGCGAGUGAUAAGAUCCGUAGUCAAGAGGGAAACAGCCCAGACCACCAGCUAAGGUCCCCAAGUAAUUGUUAAGUGGAAAAGGAUGUGGCGUUGCUUAGACAACCAGGAUGUUGGCUUAGAAGCAGCCAUCAUUUAAAGAGUGCGUAAUAGCUCACUGGUCGAGUGACGCUGCGCCGAAAAUGUAUCCGGGGCUAAACAAUUCACCGAAGCUGUGGAUGGAUUCCGUAUGGAAUCCGUGGUAGGAGAGCGUUCUAAGGGCGUUGAAGCUAGACCGGAAGGACUGGUGGAGCGCUUAGAAGUGAGAAUGCCGGUAUGAGUAACGAAAGACGGGUGAGAAUCCCGUCCACCGAAUGACUAAGGUUUCCUGAGGAAGGCUCGUCCGCUCAGGGUUAGUCGGGACCUAAGCCGAGGCCGAUAGGCGUAGGCGAUGGAUAACAGGUUGAUAUUCCUGUACCACCACUCCACCGUUUGAGUAAUGGGGGGACGCAGAAGGAUAGGGUAAGCGUACUGUUGGUUAUGUGCGUUCAAGCAGUGAGGCGUGGAAUGAGGCAAAUCCCGUUCCUAUAACGUUGAGCUGUGAUGAGCAAGGACCAUUAGGUCGGAGUUCCUGAUUUCACACUGCCAAGAAAAGCCUCUAACGAGGUGGAAGGUGCCCGUACCGCAAACCGACACAGGUAGUCGAGGAGAGAAUCCUAAGGUGAGCGAGAGAACUCUCGUUAAGGAACUCGGCAAAAUGACCCCGUAACUUCGGGAGAAGGGGUGCUCUUUAGGGUGUAAGCCUAGGAGAGCCGCAGUGAAUAGGCCCAGGCGACUGUUUAGCAAAAACACAGGUCUCUGCAAAACCGUAAGGUGACGUAUAGGGGCUGACGCCUGCCCGGUGCUGGAAGGUUAAGAGGAGUGCUUAGCGCAAGCGAAGGUGCGAAUUGAAGCCCCAGUAAACGGCGGCCGUAACUAUAACGGUCCUAAGGUAGCGAAAUUCCUUGUCGGGUAAGUUCCGACCCGCACGAAAGGCGUAACGAUCUGGGCACUGUCUCAACGAGAGACUCGGUGAAAUUAUAGUACCUGUGAAGAUGCAGGUUACCCGCGACAGGACGGAAAGACCCCGUGGAGCUUUACUGUAGCCUGAUAUUGAAUUUUGGUACAACUUGUACAGGAUAGGUAGGAGCCUGAGAUCUCGGAGCGCCAGCUUCGGAGGAGGCGUCGGUGGGAUACUACCCUGGUUGUAUUGAACUUCUAACCCUUGCCCCUUAGCGGGGCAGGAGACAGUGUCAGGCGGGCAGUUUGACUGGGGCGGU